rnacentral:rRNA from 1 species
UACGAAGGACCCAAGCGUUAUCCGGAUUUAUUGGGUUUAAAGGGUGCGUAGGCGGGUUGUUAAGUCAGUGGUGAAAGCUCCGAGCCUAACUCGGAAACUGCCAUUGAUACUGACGAUCUUGAGUACAUUUGAGGUGGGCGGAAUGUGUAAUGUAGCGGUGAAAUGCUUAGAUAUGACACAGAACACCGAUUGCGAAGGCAGCUCACUAAACUGUAACUGACGCUGAGGCACGAAAGCGUGGGGAGCAAACAGG